rnacentral:lncRNA from 1 species
GAGCGGUUCUCUUCAAGUUGGUAGAGUGGUUCUUUUCAUUCUAAUUCUAUUCAUUUGAUUGUAAUCUAUUAAACCAUUUUUAGUGGAACUGUUAAUCACUAUUUAUAGUGAUUAAAGACUGGACGUAGAUUCUGUUGAAUCGAACCAGUAUAAAAAUACUCGUGUGAAUCUUUCUUAUCCCUACACUUAUUUUACUUAUCGCACAUCAAUUGUUUGGUUAAUUUUCUGAAAGAAAAUUACUUUGAUAAAAAAGGGCAAAAUCGUUUCAACUGUGACUUAAUACGCUUUACGCUCUCUGUGUUUUUAAUCCGCUGCGCUAAACUCUUUGAAAAUUACCCCCUCCG